rnacentral:rRNA from 1 species
GUGCACCAGUCGCGAAAACUCCGCAAUGCCCGAAAGGGUGACGGGGGGAUUCCAAGUGCCUACGCUUAGCGUAGGCUGUUCAGGUGCCUAAAAAGCACCUGGAGGAAGGGCUGGGUAAGACGGGUGCCAUCUGUGGCAGCAGCCAAGAUUUGGCUUGCUACUGCAAGGCAUAAGCCGCCGCGGUAAUACCCGCAGGCCCGAGUGGUAGUCGCUUUUAUUGGGCCUAAAGCGUCC